CUUGGUGGUAGUAGCAAAUAUUCAAAUGAGAACUUGGAAGACGGAAAUGGAGAAAGGGUCCAUGUGAACAGCAAUUGUACGUGGCUUGGUCGAUCCUGAGAGAUAGGAGAAAUCCUUCAUUGCUACUCAAUAUUUUUCGUUCAUUAUAGU
rnacentral:rRNA from 18 species